CAAGAGCGUAUGUAAAAGUUGUUGCAGUUAAAAAGCUCGUAGUUGAACCUUGGGUUUGGUUGGCCGGUCCGCUUUUUUGCGAGUACUGGAUUCAACCGAGCCUUUCCUUCUGGCUAACCAGUCGUUUCGGCGGCUGGCGAACCAGGAUUUUUACUUUGAGAAAAUUAGAGUGUUCAAAGCAGGCAUUAGCUUGAAUAUAUUAGCAUGGAAUAAUAGAAUAGGACGUUAUGGUUCUAUUUUGUUGGUUUCUAGGACCAUCGUAAUGAUUAAUAGGGACGGUCGGUGGCAUCAGUAUUCAGUUGUCAGAGGUGAAAUUCUUGGAUUUACUGAAGACUAACUACUGCGAAAGCAUUUGCCAAGGACGUUUUCAUUAA
rnacentral:rRNA from 1 species